rnacentral:misc_RNA from 2 species
AACGCACCUUGCGCUCCUUGGUAUUCCGAGGAGCAUGCCUGUUUGAGUGUCAUUAAAUUCUCAACCCCAUCAAUUUGUUUUGAUUGUGGGCUUGGAUUGUGGGGGCUUGCUGGUGGACUCUUGUUCAUCGGCUCCUCUGAAAUGUAUUAGCAAAGGUUGAUGUGCGAACCAGUGUCUCGGUGUGAUAAUGACCAUCGUGUCUGACGUGCAGUGUUCCUGUGCUUACAGUCGUUGUCGCAAGACAACAUUUUUGAACCUUUGACCUCAAAUCAGGUAGGAUUACCCGCUGAACUUAA